rnacentral:rRNA from 1 species
UACAGAGGUCUCAAGCGUUGUUCGGAUUCAUUGGGCGUAAAGGGUGUGUAGGUGGCGCGCUAAGUCGGGUGUGAAAUUUCGGAGCUUAACUCCGAAACUGCAUUCGAUACUGGCGUGCUUGAGGACUGGAGAGGAGACUGGAAUUCAUGGUGUAGCAGUGAAAUGCGUAGAGAUCAUGAGGAAGACCGGUGGCGAAGGCGGCAUCCUGGACCAAUUCUGACGCUGAGGAGCGAAAGCCAGGGGAGCAAACGGG